AAUAUGAGUGGCACAGCGAUAUGUUCUAACCUGGUCAGGGCCGGAAGGCAGCAGCCAUACGAACCUCUAUUUGCGUGUGCCGUUUUAUUUAUAU
rnacentral:SRP_RNA from 1 species